AUAUUAUUUAAACCUAUUGUUGCGGUUCUAAAAAAAAUCACAGCAAUAUACUUUUAAAAUUAAUAUUAAAGAGUUCAGCUAGGGUUUCACGCCUCAUCAGUUCACUUUACGCCUCACUCUUCUCUCUCUUCCUCUCAUCUUCUCUCUCCUCCCCUCAGCAGUUCACGCCUCAUCUCUUCUCUCUCUUCCUCUCAUCAGUUUCUUUCAUCUUCUCUCUUCCGUUCGCCGGUCGACCGUACCCUCUCAUCAUCGUCUGAUCCGUUUGCCAGUCGACGGUUCGACAAGAACUUCGAAGUCCACUCAUCUCCUUCGUUCGUCUGGUGUGUCUUCGCUCAAACUAGGGUUUCGGCCGAUAAGAACAACCAGUCAUCUUCGCUUGUCUGGUGGUCAUCAUCUUUGAAUCGGCUCGCCGACAUCUCGAGGAGUGAGGUUUUGUUGGUAAUCAUAAAUGGUGCGGCCAAGGAAAUAGGACGGGCAGCUGUGAUUGGACCAAAGCAAGAGGAAUAGAGGUGGGUGGUGCAUUAGAUAACUAUUGUAUUGGAGAGGCAUUAUUUUCAUUAUAUUGCAGAUAUUAAAAAUGUUAGUCUUUUUCCAAGUUUGUCUUUGAAUCUUCUGUUGCUAUUGAUUAGGCAUGUGUCAUGGAAGAAGCACUGGAAAUACCCAUAAUGAAUGACCUUACAAUAGUUUUGGGCUCAAUAUCACAGGUUUUAUACGAUGACACUUGACAAAUAUGCCAAAUUAUGACACCCUUCAUUUCACAUAAUUCUGCAUACUUGCCUUUGACAGUAAUUUAAGUACAACAAAAUAGAAGCAAGAGUUGGGCUAUUCACAUAACCGUUCGGCUUAGAACAAAGAGUUCAUUGUAGACUUGUAGUAUAAUUCUGAUAUUUUUUUUAGAAUCAAUAUUUUUGUUGAAGGUUUCUAUUUUUUAUUUUUCGUAUGUUCAGUGUAGUGCAAUUCUCGUUUCUUGCAAUUCUUCAAUAUGUCAGAUUUUUUUCUUCAUUA